rnacentral:rRNA from 1 species
UAAUACGGAGGGUGCAAGCGUUAUCCGGAUUCACUGGGUUUAAAGGGUGCGUAGGUGGGUUUGUAAGUCAGUGGUGAAAUCUCCAAGCUUAACUUGGAAACUGCCGUUGAUACUAUAGAUCUUGAAUCUCGUGGAGGUAAGCGGAAUAUGUCAUGUAGCGGUGAAAUGCUUAGAUAUGACAUAGAACACCGAUAGCGAAGGCAGCUUACUACACGAGUAUUGACACUGAUGCACGAAAGCGUGGGGAUCAAACAGGAUUAGAUACCCUGGUAGUCCACGCCCUAAACGAUGGAUACUCGACAUACGCGAUACACAGUGUGUGUCUGAGCGAAAGCAUUAAGUAUCCCACCUGGGAAGUACGACCGCAAGGUUG